CUAUUAAUCACUACCGUAUUAUUACUAUGCUUAACACUUGUUUAUCACUAAUUACUAUUACUAAAUGUUUAUCACUAUUACACUAACACAAAAGAUCGUCCAUCCUCCGGCUUAUAGUCGGAGGCUUACGGUAUAUUAGAGAGUUUAAGUUCGACUUCCGAUACCAAUACCGAUACUAACAACAUGUCAUGCGCAUGCUCUCUGCUCGCAAGAAGCACGAGGACAAGUGUAUUGCAAGUCACCACUACCGAAGU